rnacentral:rRNA from 1 species
GUCAUGGCUCAGGAUGAACGCUAGCUACAGGCCUAACACAUGCAAGUCGAGGGGAAACGGCAGCUUAGCUUGCUAAGCUGGACGUCGACCGGCGCACGGGUGAGUAACGCGUAUCCAACCUGCCCCACGGUGAGGGAUAACCCGCGGAAACGCGGCCUAAUACCUCAUGGCCUCCGAGCUUGACAUCAAUCUUGGAGUAAAGAUUCAUUGCCGUGGGAUGGGGAUGCGUCUGAUUAG